rnacentral:rRNA from 1 species
UACGAAGGGGGCUAGCGUUGUUCGGAAUUACUGGGCGUAAAGCGCACGCAGGCGGCUCGAUAAAUUAGAAGUGAAAGCCCCGGGCUUAACCUGGGAAUUGCUUUUAAGACUGUCGGGCUAGAAUCCAGAAGAGGGUAGUGGAAUUCCGAGUGUAGAGGUGAAAUUCGUAGAUAUUCGUAAGAACACCAGUGGCGAAGGCGGCUCACUGGCCCGGUACUGACGCUGAGGUGCGAAAGCGUGGGGAGCAAACAGG